ensembl:snoRNA SNORA62 Small nucleolar RNA SNORA62/SNORA6 family
UCUGCACAUUGUUAGAGCUUGGAGUUGAGGCCGCUGGCCAAUGAACUCACAAGCGUAGGUAGUGUUUUACACGAGGGGCAAGUUUUUCACUAACACCACAAGGGUCUCUGGCCAAUGAGUGGAGUUGGAUAGUAAUACUUGCUACAAAA